GACGAACGCUGGCGGCGUGCUUAACACAUGCAAGUCGAACGGAAAGGCCCUGCUUUUGUGGGGUGCUCGAGUGGCGAACGGGUGAGUAACACGUGUGUAACCUGCCCUUGACUUUGGGAUAACUUCAGGAAACUGGGGCUAAUACCGUAUAGGAGCUCCUGCUGCAUGGUGGGGGUUGGAAAGUUUCGGCGGUUGGGGAUGGACGCGCGGCUUAUCAGCUUGUUGGUGGGGUAGUGGCAUACCAAGGCUUUGACGGGUAGCCGGCCUGAGAGCGUGAACGGGCACCUUGGGACUGAGAUACGGACCAGAGUCCUACAGGAGGCAGCAGUCGCGAAUCUUGCCCAAUGGGAGGAAGCCUGAUGCAGAAACGCCGCGUGCGGGAUGACGGCCUUCGGGUUGUAAACCGCUUUCGCCUGUGACGAAGCGUGAGUGACGGUAAUGGGUAAAGAAGCACCGGCUAACUACGUG
rnacentral:rRNA from 1 species